UACGUAGGGUGCAAGCGUUAAUCGGAAUUACUGGGCGUAAAGGGCGCGUAGGCGGCUUUCUAAGUCGAACGUGAAAUCCCUGGGCUCAACCCGGGAACUGCGUCCGAUACUGGAAGGCUUGAAUCCGGGAGAGGGAUGCGGAAUUCCAGGUGUAGCGGUGAAAUGCGUAGAUAUCUGGAGGAACACCGGUGGCGAAGGCGGCAUCCUGGGCCGGCAUUGACGCUGAGGCGCGAAAGCCAGGGGAGCGAACAGG
rnacentral:rRNA from 1 species